rnacentral:lncRNA from 12 species
CCCCCCCCCCCCCCCCCCCCCCCCCCCCCCCCCCCCCCCCCCCCCCCCCCCCCCCCCCCCCCCCCCCCCCUUAAGGUCCCUCCCCGUUCACCUGCCGCCGCUUUUAACCCGCCCCUGGCCCAUCCCCGCUGCUCCGGCCGCCCGCGGAGCCGGGGCGGGGCCCGGCCCAUCCCCGCCGCUGUGCCCCGUGGAGAGGGCCGCGGGCAGCGGGGCUUCGAUGUGAGCAGGAGAGAGCCAAAAUAAGGGGUGGGAAGGGCUUGUGUGCGCCCCGGGGCCGCUUCCCGCCGCCAAGGAGCUGGUUUGGGGUUGCAGGAGGAGACCCUGAGGGGGAGGGACAGCAAGGCACAUCAAACUAA